rnacentral:rRNA from 1 species
GAUGAACGCUGGCGGCGUGCCUAAUACAUGCAAGUCGAGCGAACGGACGAGAAGCUUGCUUUUCUGAUGUUAGCGGCGGACGGGUGAGUAACACGUGGAUAACCUACCUAUAAGACUGGGAUAACUUCGGGAAACCGGAGCUAAUACCGGAUAAUAUUUUGAACCGCAUGGUUCAAAAGUGAAAGACGGUCUUGCUGUCACUUAUAGAUGGAUCCGCGCUGCAUUAGCUAGUUGGUAAGGUAACGGCUUACCAAGGCAACGAUGCAUAGCCGACCUGAGAGGGUGAUCGGCCACACUGGAACUGAGACACGGUCCAGACUCCUACGGGAGGCAGCAGUAGGGAAUCUUCCACAAUGGGCGAAAGCCUGACGGAGCAACGCCGCGUGAGUGAUGAAGGUCUUCGGAUCGUAAAACUCUGUUAUUAGGGAAGAACAUAUGUGUAAGUAACUGUGCACAUCUUGACGGUACCUAAUCAGAAAGCCACGGCUAACUACGUGCCAGCAGCCGCGGUAAUACGUAGGUGGCAAGCGUUAUCCGGAAUUAUUGGGCGUAAAGCGCGCGUAGGCGGUUUUUUAAGUCUGAUGUGAAAGCCCACGGCUCAACCGUGGAGGGUCAUUGGAAACUGGAAAACUUGAGUGCAGAAGAGGAAAGUGGAAUUCCAUGUGUAGCGGUGAAAUGCGCAGAGAUGUGGAGGAACACCAGUGGCGAAGGCGACUUUCUGGUCUGUAACUGACGCUGAUGUGCGAAAGCGUGGGGAUCAAACAGGAUUAGAUACCCUGGUAGUCCACGCCGUAAACGAUGAGUGCUAAGUGUUAGGGGGUUUCCGCCCCUUAGUGCUGCAGCUAACGCAUUAAGCACUCCGCCUGGGGAGUACGACCGCAAGGUUGAAACUCAAAGGAAUUGACGGGGGCCCGCACAAGCGGUGGAGCAUGUGGUUUAAUUCGAAGCAACGCGAAGAACCUUACCAAAUCUUGACAUCCUUUGACAACUCUAGAGAUAGAGCCUUCCCCUUCGGGGGACAAAGUGACAGGUGGUGCAUGGUUGUCGUCAGCUCGUGUCGUGAGAUGUUGGGUUAAGUCCCGCAACGAGCGCAACCCUUAAGCUUAGUUGCCAUCAUUAAGUUGGGCACUCUAAGUUGACUGCCGGUGACAAACCGGAGGAAGGUGGGGAUGACGUCAAAUCAUCAUGCCCCUUAUGAUUUGGGCUACACACGUGCUACAAUGGACAAUACAAAGGGCAGCGAAACCGCGAGGUCAAGCAAAUCCCAUAAAGUUGUUCUCAGUUCGGAUUGUAGUCUGCAACUCGACUACAUGAAGCUGGAAUCGCUAGUAAUCGUAGAUCAGCAUGCUACGGUGAAUACGUUCCCGGGUCU